rnacentral:lncRNA from 1 species
CCAGACUCGGUUUCUUGGUUCCGUCCCAAAACGCCGAAGAAAGGCACAAUGGCCUAGAAAGGGAUAGUCGGACUUGGAACGGGGUCCGAGGCCUCGAAAGUCCACAUCUAGCUACUGGGUGGUCCGAUUCUGAGUGAUCUCGAACUUUCUUGUCCACAAAAGCCGAACGGUGACGCCCCAGACUCGGUUUCUUGGUUCCGUCCCAAAACGCCGAAGAAAGGCACAAUGGCCUAGAAAGGGACGGUCGGACUUGGAACGGGGUCCGAGGCCUCGAAAGUCCACAUCAAGCUACUGGGUGGUCCGAUUCUGAGUGAUCUCGAAGUUUCUAGCCACAAAAGCCGAACGGUGACGCCCCAGACUCGGUUUUUUGGUUCCGUCCCAAAACGCCGAAGAAAGGCACAAUGGCCUAGAAAGGGACGGUCGGACAUGGAACGGGGUCCGAGGCGUCGAAAGUCCACAUCUAGCUACUGGGUGGUCCGAUUCCGAGUGAUCUCGAAGUUUCUUGCCCACAAAAGCCGAACGGUGCGCCCCAGACUCGGUUUCUUGGUUCCGUCCCGAAACGCCGAAGAAAGGCACAAUGGCCUCGAAAGGGACGGUCGGACUUGGAACGGGGUCUGAGGCCUCGAAAGUCCACAUCUAGCUACUUGGUGGUCCGAUUCUGAGUGAUCUCGAAGUUUCUUGCCCAGAAAAGCCGAACGGUGUCGCCCUAGACUCGGUUUCUUGGUUCCGUCCCAAAACGCCGAAGAAAGGCACAAUGGCCCAGUAAGGGACGGUCGGACUAGGAACGGGGUCCGAGGCCUCGAAAGUCCACAUCUAGCUACUGGGUGGUCCGAUUCUGAGUGAUCUCGAAGUUUCUUGCCCACAAAAGCCGAACGGUGACGCCCCAGACUCGGUUUCUUGGUUUUGUCCCAUAACGCCGAAGAAAGGCACAGUGGCCUAGAAAGGGACGGUCGGACUUGGAACGGGGUCCUAGGCCUCGAAAGUCCACAUCUAGCUACUUGAUGGUCCGAUUCUGAGUGAUCUCGAAGUUUCUUGGCCACAAAAGCCGAACGGUGACGCCCCAGACUCGGUUUCUUGGUUCCGUACCAAAACGCCGAAGAAAGGCACAGUGGCCUAGAAAGGGACGGUCGGACUUGGAACGGGGUCCGAGGCCUCGAAAGUCCACAUCUAGCUACUGGGUGGUCCGAUUCUGAGUUAUCUCGAAGUUUCUUGCGCACAAAAACCAAACGGUGACGCCCCAGACUCGGUUUCUUGGUUCCUUCCGAAAACGCCGAAGAAAGACACAAUGGCCUAGAAAGGGACGGUCGGACUUGGAACGCAGUCCGGGGCCUCGAAAGUCCACAUCUAGCUACUGGGUGGUCCGAUUCUGAGUGAUCUCGAAGUUUCUUGCCCACAAAAGCCGAACGGUGUCGCCCCAGACUCGGUUUCUUGGUUCCGUCCCAAAACGUCGAAGAAAGGCACAUUGGCCUAGAAAGGGACGGUCGGACUUGGAACGGUGUCCGAGGCCUCGAAAGUCCACAUCUAGCUACUCCGUGGUCCGAUUCUGAGUGAUCUCGAAGUUUCUUGCCCACAAAAGGCGAACGGUGACGCCCCAGACUCGGUUUCUUGGUUCCGUCCAAAAACGCCGAAGAAAGGGACAAUGGCCUAGAAAGGGACGGUCGGACUUGGAACGCGGUCCGAGGCCUCGAAAGUCCACAUCUAACUACCGGGUGGUCCGAUUCUGAGUGAUCUCGAAGUUUCUUGCCCACAAAAGCUGAACGGUGACGCCCCAAACUCGGUUUCUUGGUUCCGUCCCAAAACGCCGAAGAAAGGCACAAUUUCCUAGAAAGGGACGAUCGGACUUGGAACGGGUCCGAGGCCUCGAAAGUCCACAUCUAGCUACUGGGUGGUCCGAUUCUGAGUGAUCUCGAAGUUUCUUGCCCACAAAAGCCGAACGGUGACGCCCCAGACUCGGUUUCUUGGUUCCGUCCCAAAACGCUGAAGAAAGGCACAAUGGCCUAGAAAGGGACGGUCGGACUUGGAACGAGGUCCGAGGCCUCGAAAGUACACAUGUAGCUACUGGGUGGUCUGAUUCUUAGUGACCUUGAAGUUUCUUAACCACAAAAGCCGAACGGUGACGCCCCAGACUCGGUUUCUUGGUUCCCUCCCAAAACGCCGAAGAAAGGCACAAUGGCCUAGAAAGGGACGGUCGGACUUGGAACGGGGUCCGAAGCCUCGAAAGUCCACAUGUAGCUACUGGGUGGUCCGAUUCUUUGUGAUCUCGAAGUUUCUUGACCACAAAAGCCGAACGGUGACGCCCAGACUCGGUUUCUUGGUUCCGUCCCAAAACGCCGAAGAAAAGCACAAUGGCCUAGAAAGGGACGGUCGGACUUGGAACGGGGUCCGAGGCCUCGAAAGUCCACAUCUAGCUACUGGGUGGUCUGAUUCUUUGUGAUCUCGAAGUUUCUUGCCCACAAAAGCCGAACGGUGACGCCCAGACUCGGUUUCUUAGUUCCGUCCCAAAACGCCGAAGAAAGGCACAAUUUCCUAGAAAGGGACGGUCGGACUUGGAACGGGGUCCGAGGCCUCGAAAGUCCAUAUCUAGCUACUGGGUGGUCCGAUUCUGAGUGAUCUCGAAGUUUCUUGCCCACAAAAGCCGAACGGUGACGCCCGAGACUCGGUUUCUUGGUUCCGUCCCAAAACGCCGAAGAAAAGCACAAUGGCCUAGAAAGGGACGGUCGGACUUGGAACGGGGUCCGAGGCCUCGAAAGUCCACAUCUAGCUACUGGGUGGUCUGAUUCUUUGUGAUCUCGAAGUUUCUUGCCCACAAAAGCCGAACGGUGACGCCCCAGACUCGGUUUCUUGGUUCCGUCCCAAAACGCCGAAGAAAGGCACAAUGGACUAGAAAGAGACGGUCGGACUUGGAACGGGGUCCGAGGCCUCAAAAGUCCACAUCUAGCUACUGGGUGGUCCGAUUCUUUGUGAUCUCGAAGUUUCUUGCCCACAAAAGCCGAACGGUGACGCCCCAGACUCGGUUUCUUGGUUCCGUCACAAAACGCCGAAGAAAGGCACAAUGGCCUAGAAAGGGACGGUCGGACUUGGAACGGGGUCCGAGGCCUCGAAAGUCCACAUCUAGCUACUGGGUGGUCCGAUUCUUUGUGAUCUCGAAGUUUCUUGCCCACAAAAGCCGAACGGUGACGCCCCAGACUCGGUUUCUUGGUUCCAUCCCAAAACGCGGAAGAAAGGCACAAUGGCCUAGAAAGGGACGGUCGGACUUGGAACGGGGUCCGUUGCCUCGAAAGUCCACAUCUAGCUACUGGGUGGUCCGAUUCUGAGUGAUCUCGAAGUUUCUUGCCCACAAAAGCCGAACGGUGACGCCUAGACUCGGUUUCUUGGUUUCGUCCCAAAACGCCGAAGAAAGGCACAGUGGCCUAGAAAGGGACGGUCGGACUUGGAACGGGGUCUGAGGCCUCGAAAGUCCACAUCUAGCUACUGGGUGGUCCGAUUCUUUGUGAUCUCGAAGUUUCUUGCCCACAAAAGCCG